GACGAACGCUGGCGGCGUGCUUAACACAUGCAAGUCGAACGGAAAGGCCCCCUUGUGGGGUACUCGAGUGGCGAACGGGUGAGUAACACGUGAGUAACCUACCCUUGACUUUGGGAUAACUUCAGGAAACUGGGGCUAAUACCGGAUAGGAGCUCCUGCUGCAUGGUGGGGGUUGGAAAGUUUCGGCGGUUGGGGAUGGACUCGCGGCUUAUCAGCUUGUUGGUGGGGUAGUGGCUCACCAAGGCUUUGACGGGUAGCCGGCCUGAGAGGGUGACCGGCCACAUUGGGACUGAGAUACGGCCCAGACUCCUACGGGAGGCAGCAGUGGGGAAUAUUGCACAAUGGGCGGAGGCCUGAUGCAGCAACGCCGCGUGCGGGAUGACGGCCUUCGGGUUGUAAACCGCUUUCGCCUGUGACGAAGCGUGAGUGACGGUAAUGGGUAAAGAAGCACCGGCUAACUACGUG
rnacentral:rRNA from 1 species